GGGGGCGGGGCUGUAGAGAGGCGUAGAAAGGUGAGAAGGUUGGGAAGAGGAGGAGGUAGUUGGGAGUUGUUGGAACUGGUAGGGGUUCCCGGUGGCCGGUGAACAGGAUUCUGGAAGCUGUGACGAAUUGUUUGAAAAGACUUGAGGAAUACCUGCUGCAUUCUCCUCGCUGUAUUCCAGCAUUAAGAAAGCCUGGGCACUGCUAAGUAUUUGACCCGUCAGACUGUACCUGCCACCUGAGAAUUUCUGACUAAUGACUCUGUGGACAAGAAGACCUUGGUGUUGAGUGCACUUAGCCUGGAAUUCUCACAGAGGCGCUGAGGGAGUCUUACCUUCCCCAAUGUCAGCCGUCCUAGCUGAAGUCUGGAGCUGGAUUUCUGCCCCCAUCUACCAAAUCCCUAACAUCUCCCUUUUCCAACCUGGCCUCUUUUAAUACAAACUGCUUUCUUAAAGCAAAAUGGGCCUUUUGUGUGUUCUUCCUAAGGUAAUCUACAAAAUUAAAAUAGUUGUUUAUUCCCUAGUCACUAAACUAUUGCAUAUUCCAUUGUUAAAUUUCAGAAAAUAGAAGAACAAAGAAAAGUAACCGUUACCAUGCAACCAAGUAUAACCACUACUUACUUUUUGGUACACAAUAUUUCUUCCCUUGGACAUACCGCACACACAGAUUGUCUCUGCGCUUUCAGCCACAGCCACUGGCACCUUUAAUCCUUCCUGCUGUGGGCAAACCUAUUUCACCCAAUGCGUGAAACCUUUUGCGAUUUUUUCCAUCUGUAUUCUUACAGCAUUCAUGUUGUAUGAUAAUUACCUAUUCUUAUGUCUUUUGGACCAAGUUCCUGGGAGCAAGCUAAAGUUCUAGAACUAUUAGAAUAAAGCAAGAGAUAGAAGAGACCAGAAUGUCAGAUGCACAAGUGGUUUCACAGACCAGUUUGUGAACUGGGGUUCAUCUAUGGUGAAGUUUCUGCAGAUCAGCGGAGGAAUGAGAAAAGGAUAUAUAUAAGUGGCAGAGGAUCUAUGCCUCUUCUCUGGAGCACAAACAUGGUAUGGCUGACUAUGUUCCUCAUAAGCAGUUGGAUGGUUCCUCCAGAAGCAGUCUUUAAGCCAAGAAUUGAGCAUAAGUGGUUUGCUAAUACCCAGCCCCAGAAGAAGAAACCAGUAAGGGAGUAGAAGAAGCAGACUGAGGAGAGGGAAGAACCUAAAAGAGGUCAUAAGGGUGUAGAAGAUAGCAGUGCACACCAAGGGCAUGCAGAAAUAGAACCCGAAGAGCCACCAAUCCUUUACAUCUUGGUAAAACUGUAAGAUUGUUUAUUUACGAAGGAUAACGCGGCCUCCUGUAUCAUCUCAGUUCCCACAGUAAAAAAUAAUCAUGCUGCUCUGUGAAAAACUGGACAGUUGCUGAAUAUAGAAAGAGGCCCAGUAGGCUACACUUGUAACAUGUCUAUUAAAAAAAUCUAUAAAUGGCUCCUGAGGAAAAAAAGUUCUGGGCAGAAGUUCUUAACUGUUCUUAUGCCAUCGACCCCUUUGAAGGUCUGGUGAAGACUGUAAUCCUUUCUGAGAAUAACACUUCUAUAUGCCUAAAAGUAAGAUUACAGUGGUAACCACUUACAUUGAAACACAGCUAUUGAAAUAGUAAAAAGAAUAUUCUGAUAUAGAAAUAGAGGUGUUUAUUAACAAGUUAAGGGAAAAAAUCUAAUGGUGGUUCUAAUAACUAUCAGAAGUUGAAAAGUGAUGAGCAUAAAUGAUAUUUCAAGAUUAUCCAACUGUUAUUGUGACAAGAAAAUGUCUGUUAUUCCUAUUAGUAGAAAUAUGGUUCUGUUAAAUAUGCUUGUGGUUCAUUGCCUACAUUCAUAAUAGAAGGAAAUGAUAAAUUCCAAUUAGAAGUUAGUGAAAAUGAAUAUGUAAUCUCUUUUCCAUUUAAGUUCACAGACCCCUCCCUGAAUUCUAUCCUAAAGUUACUGUAAACUACAAAGGAGUUGGUUUAUUCAGAUGUAUUCAUACAAAUAUCUCCCUCUCCAUAUCACACUGUAGAAGAUUUCAGUACUGAAGUCAAAAAACCAAAAAAAAAAAAAAAA